CUUGGUGUGUAUUUAGCAAUGAUGUCCUUUGAAGUGUUUUUUACUUUAUUGUAAUAAAGCAUAUUCAGGGCUUUUACUUUGAGAAAAUUAGAGUGUUUCUAGCAGGCCAACGCUUUGAAUACUGCAGCAUGGAAUAAUAAGAUAGGAUUUUAGUUCUACAUUAUUGGUUUUAAGAGCUAAAUUAAUGA
rnacentral:rRNA from 1 species